AGCGAACGCUGGCGGCAGGCCUAACACAUGCAAGUCGAACGGACCCUUCGGGGUUAGUGGCGGACGGGUGAGUAACACGUGGGAACGUGCCUUUAGGUUCGGAAUAGCUCCUGGAAACGGGUGGUAAUGCCGAAUGUGCCCUUCGGGGGAAAGAUUUAUCGCCUUUAGAGCGGCCCGCGUCUGAUUAGCUUGUUGGUGGGGUAAUGGCCCACCAAGGCUACGAUCAGUAGUUGGUCUGAGAGGAUGACCAGCCACAUUGGGACUGAGACACGGCCCAAACUCCUACGGGAGGCAGCAGUGGGGAAUCUUGCGCAAUGGGCGAAAGCCUGGCGCAGCCAUGCCGCGUGUAUGAUGAAGGUCUUAGGAUUGUAAAAUACUUUCACCGGUGAAGAUAAUGACUGUAGCCGGAGAAGAGGCCCCGGCUAACUUCGUGCCAGCGGCCGCGGUAAUACGAAGGGGGCUAGCGUUGCUCGGAAUUACUGGGCGUAAAGGGAGCGUAGGCGGACAUUUAAGUCAGGGGUGAAACG
rnacentral:rRNA from 1 species